rnacentral:rRNA from 1 species
UGGGUUAAGUCCCGCAACGAGCGCAACCCUUGUCUUUAGUUGCCAUCAUUAAGUUGGGCACUCUAGAGAGACUGCCAGGGAUAACCUGGAGGAAGGUGGGGAGGACGUCAAAUCAUCAUGCCCCUUAGGCUUAGGGCUACACACGUGCUACAAUGGGUAGUACAGAGGGUUGCCAAGCCGUAAGGUGGAGCUAAUCCCUUAAAGCUACUCUCAGUUCGGAUUGUAGGCUG